AACGAACGCUGGCGGCGCGCCUAAUACAUGCAAGUCGAGCGAGAAGACGUAGCAAUACGUUUGUAAAGCGGCGAACGGGUGAGGAAUACAUGGGUAACCUACCCUCGAGUGGGGAAUAACUAGCCGAAAGGUUAGCUAAUACCGCGUACGCUCCUUGGACUUCGGUUCAGGGAGGAAAGCGAUACCGUGGGUAUCGCGCUCUUGGAUGGGCUCAUGUCCUAUCAGCUUGUUGGUGAGGUAACGGCUCACCAAGGCUUCGACGGGUAGCUGGUCUGAGAGGACAAUCAGCCACACUGGCACUGCGACACGGGCCAGACUCCUACGGGAGGCAGCAGUAAGGAAUAUUGCGCAAUGGGCGAAAGCCUGACGC
rnacentral:rRNA from 1 species